rnacentral:rRNA from 1 species
AUUGAACGCUGGCGGCAGGCCUAACACAUGCAAGUCGAGCGGAUGAAGGGAGCUUGCUCCUGGAUUCAGCGGCGGACGGGUGAGUAAUGCCUAGGAAUCUGCCUGGUAGUGGGGGAUAACGUCCGGAAACGGGCGCUAAUACCGCAUACGUCCUGAGGGAGAGAGAGGGGGAUCUUCGGACCUCACGCUAUCAGAUGAGCCUAGGUCGGAUUAGCUAGUUGGUGGGGUAAAGGCCUACCAAGGCGACGAUCCGUAACUGGUCUGAGAGGAUGAUCAGUCACACUGGAACUGAGACACGGUCCAGACUCCUACGGGAGGCAGCAGUGGGGAAUAUUGGACAAUGGGCGAAAGCCUGAUCCAGCCAUGCCGCGUGUGUGAAGAAGGUCUUCGGAUUGUAAAGCACUUUAAGUUGGGAGGAAGGGCAGUAAGUUAAUACCUUGCUGUUUUGACGUUACCAACAGAAUAAGCACCGGCUAACUUCGUG